GUCCACUUUUGAGAUUGCAUAAUAAAAAAGCAAUAAUUUAUAUCCUUAGCCAAAGGAAGUUAUUACAAAUUGUAUUGUCAUAUCUUUAGAAGAGAGGAUUUCAUAAUCAGUCAUUACAGUUUUUUACCACAACCAUAAAUUUUUUUGUCUCCUCCUAGGCCACGUCCAUGCCUCUUAAACAAACAGGCCCAAAUCCAGUUUUCAUUCAAAAUCCAAACUUCUUUACUUACUUUUAUUAGACACAAAAUCAAACACCUAAUGUGCAAGUGCUGCUCUCACUCACACCCAAAUUCUGUACACAAUCCUCCUUUGUAAACGUUUGAUCCCACCCAAAAGAAGCCUUCAAUCUUGUUUUAAAUUAAAAACAUUGGUGUUUCACAUCAAAAUUGAGCAAUAAAAAAAAAAUGCUACAAAACUGAAAAGGCAGCAAUUCUCAGUUUCUCACGCCUAUAUCUUUCUUUGUUUCAGCUUGCCAGCCCUUUGCAUUGAGUCACGUUUUUCUUUUUCUCUAAAUUGGAUUUUAUUUUAUUUGUGACUCACGUUCACUUGCCACAUUUGCGGUGAAGAAGGCAAGGGUGCUCACAAUGUGUGGGUCCCGUGCUAUAGGUACACACACAUUGACUCACGUUUCUAAGCUUGGGCCUGUUUUUGAGCCCAUGAAGGAAAAUGAGUCCAUAUUCCAUUAUAUAAGCAGCAUUUUAGGUUUAAGGUUUAUAUAAUUUUUGUUGAGAGAGGAAGCGGCGGCAGCCUAUGAUGUGGAGAAAUGCGUGUGCAUCUUUACCCACCCGAUCUGUGUGUGUUCUAACUUGUUCUCUCCCCUUUUGUAAUUAAUGAGAAAAUUAGUCUCUCUCAAGAAAUGCAAGACAAGUGAGGUGUACUUGUGUGGUAUAUUUAUUCCAAAUAUUGCAUGCUUGUGUUCCAAUGUACAUGGUGAGGUUACUCAUUUCAAAAAUUGGAAAAUGUUAAGUUGGAUCUCAAUAUUUUAAUCUAUAAUAUCCCUGUAGAUAGAAUAUGCAAAGCGCUAGGAAACUUGAAACUACAAAUAACUAUUCUCUACCUUAUGAAGUGGAGUAGAACUAGCUGAAUAGUAAAUGAAGUAGGUCCGACAUUGUAGAAAAUGGAUGACAAUGGUUGCUUAGUUGAUUGCUUGAUAGGUAACUUGAUAAUCUAAAAGAUAUAUUAGAACAACAAGACAACAUGGACAAUGAAACUUCAGCUGAAAACUUGUUUGAUGACUUUGGAAAUAAAAAAUUUGAGGAAUCUCCUCAAAAGCUUUUGUGUAGGCUAUCUUAAUAUAAAUAAUUGUUAUCUUCAUUACUGAUUGCUCUCUCUUUCCAUUUCGUUGGACAAGGUUACAAUUUUCAUCUUUGUACCUUACUCUCCUUUGUUGAUGUAUUGAAAACCAUGUUAUAUUGUUUGUCUCCCAAACUAAAAUUUUUAAAACCUUAACUAUUACAUCUUAAUUGCUUUUACUUAAUAUUUAAAUCAACUCAACUAAGCCUUAAUCCCAAUUAAAUUUGGGUUGGCUAUGAAUUCUUAUCAACUAAUAAUUAAGAUAUUCAAUAGAAUCUCACUUGCUAUGUUGUUACCCCAAGCUGGUGAAAGAGACAUUAAUGCUGCUUUAUAGAACCAUUGACAUAUAUCUCAAUAAUGUAUGGAAUUUUGAAGUUGGUUUAAAAGAAAAAAUAAACGAAGUCAUGAUUGAUGGGCUUGCAUAGUUAUUGAGUCUUAUAUGUGCUAUGUUUGUGACUGUUUAGCCCAGAGAGUAAGAGAUAUGGAAGGGGUAAAGUGGACUGAAAACUUGGUGAGCUAGCCCAAGUAUUAGAGUGGCCACCCUUAAUUUGUAAUAUCUUAACACAAAUGUCCACUUUCCCAAACUCCUACCAUCCUUCAAAUAGUGAUAUGCUCAGUGUGUUGUUUAGUACCCCUCCUAGCCAAGCUUGAACUAGGCCUGAAAGUUCAAUAUCCAGAAGCUUGGGCUCUAGAUCUUUGGCUAGGAAUGGGCUACACCUUAUAAAUCUUAGGAGACAAAGUAACUCCUUUAGGGAUGAGCAUACAUUACUAAAAAAAAGAAAAAAAGAAUUUUCUAUUAUAUUGCAUCUCCAUAGCCUGUCUAGAGUCUAGAGGUUAAUAAAUAAAGUUCCUAAAAAUAGAUUGGUUCCAAAUUUUUUUGAUUCAAGAGGUUUGAGUUCCUAAUUUUUUUUAUAUCAAACAUAACUAACUUCACAUCUUGUGCUAUCACCUGACAAAUAAAAUCAUUUGCAAUUUCAAAAGUGGGUCUUGAGAACCAAGAGAAACAACUAGAUUUGAUUCAUUUGAAACUGAGAGAGAUCCAGGUCUUCACCUUCAUCUUAGUUCAUAAAAUAGAGGACUAUAACACUAAGAUUGACCUAUAUAAUUGCCCCUUAGACCUCAUGCCCUGUAGCAUUGAAAAAAUUAUUAGGUCCACAAAGAGAACUACUAAUGUGGUCCUUCUUGACUUCCUAACUAAUAAAAUGAUGUUAUAUAUGCAAAUGUGACAUUACUUGGUAAUUUUUUAUUUUUUUAUUUCUUGUACUAAUUAGGAAGCCCAUUCACACAUUUGCAUAGAUGAAAUAGUCUUAUUGGUUGGGAAGACCACAUUAGCAGUCCUCCUAGUAGACAUAAUAAUUUCUCAUAGAGUUGACUUUUUUUUUUUUUUUUUUUUACAAGAUAGAAUUUUUAUUCUAACCUAAUUUAAGUUUUUAUGUUUGUGGAGCUCUCUCUUAGAAACUUGAACCCCGGCUCUUGCCUUCCACAUCUCACAAGUAUUUAUAAUAGUGGAGUAACUACCGCACCAAGGGUGCGCAGUGUCAUAACGUUGACUUAAAACCAACUUGCUAUAGCAUUUUCAGUAAUCAUGUUAUUUUAUUUUUGGGCUCAAUAAAUAUAGGAACUCAACAUUUUUCAAUGUAAUUAAUAGUACAUUAUAAAAAUAACAUUAAUAAUAAACCCAAAUUAAAGUGACAAAAGAAUCAUGUCAGCAUGUUAACAAUUAAAAAUUCUUGAAGCAAAUCUAACGUCCUUUAAGCAGCUCUUUGAGCGCAUGUUUUGGGACACCUCAAUUGCUUAGGAUGGAUCGUACUAUGACAAUUCUCGCAGACAGCUCCCUAUUAUAAAGUCAUCCAACAAUUUCUACAAACAGCAUAUCACAAACCAGAAAAAACGGCACAUACAACCAAAAAAGAUGAUAUAUCAUUAAUGCCAAGUAUAUGCACAAUAUACUAGGAAAUGUCACCAAAAACAGGAAUGUCAUUUUAUCAAUUAUUUCUCAAUUUCCUUGACCAUUCCCUUCUUUCUUUUCUAUCUUUGAAAAACCCAAAUAACAUACACCACAAGGGUAUUUCCAUUUCAUUUCAUUUAAUCAAAGAAAAAGUAAAAAAAAAGUAAGCUAAAAGGACAAUAUUAAAAGGUAUACUUGUUGGUUGGGGUUACUGGUAAAUGGUUACUGGUAAUUUAUUAAAAGGUAUAUUAGAAGGGUCUUCUCUAUCUUAUCAACAUUUUGUUGUGCGUUUACGCCUUUAGGCAAAACAGAACCACAGGACAGUGCCAUCAAACACACAGCAGCUUGUUCCUCCUCCUUCAACUUCCUCCUCCUCUGGCACCUCUGUUUUUUCUUCAUCACUGAUGGUAACAUUUGCAACAAGAAAUCAUUUUCCAAAGCCAUUAAUUUUUUUUUUAAAAGACUCUCUCAGAUUUCUGCCACCAUUGCCAACAGCUUUAGCAGUGUGGGUGGUUGUGGCAUUGGAAUUGGAUUUGGUGGUAGUGGCAGUAGCACGAGCAUUUGAUCUAUAUUUUUUUUCCUACAUGAUACAUGACUCAAACCCACAUAGAAUUCCUCCUCUUUCUGUCCCUAAUCACACAGGCAUUACACAGUGACCGAAAAAACAACAAACAAAAAGAACCAUUAAUCUAAAACACACAACACACAAAGAAGACUAAUAAAAUUGGAAAUAUUAAAUAAAUACCCAAAAAUUUAAACAAAUGGAACAGAAUUGAAAAACAUUUCCCCAAAGAAAACCCAAAUAGAAUAUGAAAAAUCGCUAGCAAACACUAUUGAAGCCCAUAAUCCUUUGUAACUAUUCAUGAUUGAAAAGGCAAAAUAACACUCCAAAACUGUACAUUUUUGGCAGCCUUCGUUCUUAGUCAGUGGAAUAUGACUAGUUUCACUUUUAGGUUAAAGUAUUUUUUUAAUUUUGGGUAAAUUUCAUUAACUACUACUGAGCUUUGUACAAAUACCAAAGCCGCUAUUUAUUUUUGGUUUCUCUCUCUCACCCUCACACGGGUCCCUUAUUUCUUCUGAUUCUCUUUCUUCUCAGCUUUUCUUCUCGUCACUCUCUCUGACUCCCUCAUCCUUUCCACUCUCAAACCUCUCUUUGACUCUCACGUUCCUUUCUUCUCUCUAUCGUGGUCUUUGCGACGGUGUGGUGGUGUGGGUAAGCAGUUUUGGUGAGUUUCGGUGUGGAUCGGUGUUUAGCAGUGGUUCGUGGGUUUUGGUGUGGGUCGGCGGUAGAGGUUUGUGAUUUUGGUUUGGAUCGGUUGUGGGUUGGCGGUGGUGGUUUGUGAUUUUGGUUUGGAUCGGCGAGGUGGGUUUGCUUUGGUUUGAGCAAAGGCUUUGUGGGUCGCGAUGGGAGGUGGCCGGCGAUUGCAAGAUCCCAAUCUGGCAGAGCUCGCCGUUAUGGGUAUGGGUUUUUAAAAAAAAUUGUUGAUUUGGGUUUGUUUGGGUUUGGUUUUGGUUUUGUUAUGGGUCUUGGUUUUGUUUUGAAAUGUGUUUGAUCUGGGUAUGUUUGAGGUUUGAUGUUGGAUGAUUGUUUGUUUGGGUUGAUCUGUGUUUGAUUGUCUUAUUGGUCAUUUGUUGAGUUUGAAACCUUAUGGCUAGCUUGAGCUUGACACCGAGAGAGUUUCUGGCGUGAAGAAGAGAGAGCAAAGAGAAAGGGAUGAGAGGACUGAGGUUAACGGUGUUAGAGUCCGUUUGGACUUAAGGACUGAAAUGGUCAGUUUUGUAAUCUUCUGGACCUCCGUGGUAUUUGUCCAAACCUCAGGGCUAGUUAGUGAAAUUUACCCUUUAAUUUUUGUUGAGAGAAAGGAAGCGGCGGCAGCCUAAGAUGUGGAGAAAUGUGUGUACAUCUUUACCCGCCAGAUCAGUGUAUGUUCCAACUUGUUCUCUCCCCUUUUGUGUGAGGGUUUCAUUUCAUGUUCGUACUUGUUCUGUUAGUACUACUUGUGCAACUUUUGCUAUUGCUAGUAGUUAUAAUUUCGAAAACCCAGAUCAGUUCAUGAAUUAUGUGAGAAUUCGAUGCAGAGACUUUGAUCAUGGUUUAGAUCCGUUUGAUAAACUGCUUCAUAUGAAUCUUUUGUCUGCAAUUAUAGAUUUCAUUAGUUUAUAUUUUGCAAUUGCAACAAUAAAGUAUUAUUCGACCGUGAUUACUUUGUAUAAGGAUUUGAAUCUAAUCUGUUGACGCAUCUCAUCCUGAAAAACAUGCAUAUGUCUGUCCAUAUAUCCUGAGGCAUCUCAUCAUGAGAAGCAUGCAUGCAUCUUUUUAUCUCAUCUUGAAAAGCACGCAAGGCCUGAAGUAAGGGUUUUGCGGGGAGAUGACUGAGGAGUAGUCGUAGCAUCAUUCUCAGGAAAAGGAUCAAUGGGAUUGGGAGAUGUAGGAUGCUCUAGAUCAGGAGCAGGCUGAUGAAGAUGGCUUAUAUUAGAUUUCAAAGAAGAUAAGCCAAUUGAAAUUGACCAAUUGUUGCUUUCUUGCUUAGUAAAAAUCAUGUUGGCCUAUUAUCAUAAGUUGUGGAAAAUGGUAGAUGGUUGAAGUUAUGCUUUGGUAUGCAAUAUUAUCAUUGACAGUUUAUGUAAGGGCUGACUCAAAAAGUUAAAAAGGCUUGGAUUUGGAAUCUAAGAAAGAGAAUUUUGAAGCCAAGAAAAACAACUAUUGGAUUAUGUUUUUCCUUGAAAAAGAAUUUGGAAACCAAGAAAAACAACUAUUGGAUUAUGUCUUUCCUUGAAAAAGAAUUUGGAAGCCAACAAAAAAAAAAAAAAAAAGAUUUGGAAGCAAGCUGACAAAAAGAAGAAUGAGAAUGGAUGGAUCUACAUAGAAGAAAUUAUGAUGCUAGUUGAUGAUAAUUGUUUGUAAAAUUGUAAAAUUAUAAAAGUGUUCAUCUCUUAUUUUUCAAGUUUUAUGAUGUGUUCAUCAAUGGAUAUUGUAAGACAAAGAAUUAAUGAGAAAAUUAGUCUCUCUCAAGAAA